UACGUAGGGUGCAAGCGUUGUCCGGAAUUAUUGGGCGUAAAGAGCUCGUAGGCGGUCUGUCGCGUCUGCUGUGAAAACUCGGGGCUUAACCCCGGGCCUGCAGUGGGUACGGGCAGACUAGAGUGCGGUAGGGGAGACUGGAAUUCCUGGUGUAGCGGUGAAUGCGCAGAUAUCAGGAGGAACACCAGUGGCGAAGGCGGUCUCUGGGCCGUAACUGACGCUGAGGAGCGAAAGCAUGGGGAGCGAACAGG
rnacentral:rRNA from 1 species